rnacentral:ncRNA from 1 species
UGGGAAAGAUUUUUUUCCCCCUAAAUCUUAUAAGAAGUUUUAUCCUGUCCUUUUAAUUUUGUAUUAUAUACUAAUUUUGUUUUCUAAAUGAUUUUAUUUUUUAGUAUUAUUUAUUGUUUGUUGAGUUACCUCAGACACAAUAAAUUUUGUUUUUCUGGCGAAUAUCGUGCCAGCAACCGCGGUUAUACGAUGGGAGGUUAGUAUUGAUUAUUGGUUUGUAGUAAUAUUUUUGUUUUUAUUUAUAUUUUAAUUUUUGGGUGAAAUUUGUUUUUAUUUUUGAAGUAUUUUGUGUGAUUCUGUGAAACUUGAGUUAUAAACGAGGAUUAGAUACCCUUUUAUUUCGAGUGUAAAUUUUUAGCUUGGGUAGUGGUAGUUAGGAUCUUGAAACCCAAAGGAUUUGGCGGUAUUUUAGUCUUUUCAGAGGAACCUGUCCCUUAAACGACGAUCCACGAUUUGAAUUACUUAUUUUUGUGUUCAGUUUGUAUACCUCCGUCAUAAGAAUAUCUUUUUAGGGUAAAUUUUCUUAUUAUUUUAAGAAUAGUAUGUCAGGUCAAGGUGCAGCUUAUGAGUAAGUGGAGUUGGGUUACAUUGUAUUUUAUAAGCGGAUUUAUUUGUUUGUUUAUGUAAUGAAGUUGGAUUUGAUUGUAAAUUUAUUUAAAUAAGUUUUUUGAUUUUAGCUCUAAAAUAAGCACACAUCGCCCGUCGCUCUCGUGUUGAAAUGAGAUAAGUCGUAACAUAGUAGUUGUACCGGAAGGUGUAUCUAGUAAGUGU